UUGGUUUAUAUCCAUACACAUCACACACACUGCGACACGCAGGGUCCUUUGAAAUUUCAACCUCAUUCACAAUUCCUCUUCUUUCUUCAUCUUCUUCUUCUUGGUUUCCAAGAAGAAACAAAGACAAUGGCUACUGUCAUCGACUCUCAUUUCUUAGGGUUCACCGCACUUGUCACUAUUGGCUAUCAGUUUCUGUUUUUCGUCAUCACCGCGCUCCUCAAAUUCGACAAAGUCACUGAUUUUGCUGGAAGCACGAAUUUCAUUAUAAUUGCUGUAUUGACACUGGUGAUCAAAGGCUCCUGGUAUUUUCGGCAGAUAAUCCUGACUUCGUUUGUUGUGAUAUGGGGAAUUCGCCUGGGGCUUUUCCUGUUAUUCAGAAUUUUGCAGUGGGGAGAAGACCGACGCUUUGAUGAAAUGCGCAGUAAUUUGGGUAGACUAGCCAUAUUUUGGAUAUUUCAGGCUGUCUGGGUGUGGACUGUGAGUUUACCGGUCACAUUGGUUAAUGCAAGCGACAGAAAUCCCUUUCUACAUGUUGUGGAUAUAAUAGGUUGGAUCUUGUGGGCUGUUGGUUUUAUUGUGGAAGGUACAGCAGACCAACAAAAGCUGAAUUUCAAAAGAUCAUCAGAAAAUAGAGGGAGGUGGUGUAAUGUUGGAGUCUGGAAAUAUUCUCGUCAUCCUAAUUAUUUUGGUGAGAUAUUGCUUUGGUGGGGGGUUUUUCUGGCAUCUACACCUGUACUGGAGGGUGCUGAAUGGCUGGUAAUCGUUGGACCGAUCUUUCUCACGUUGUUGCUUCUUUUUGUCAGUGGCAUUCCGCUGCUUGAGGACUCGGCAGAUAAGAAGUUUGGUAAUGUAGACGGAUAUAGGAUAUACAAAAAAGAACAAGCCCUUUAAUCCCAUUGCCACCAUCAGUCUAUGGGAACUUACCGGCAUGGUUCAAAACAGCCCUUCUCUUAGAGCUUCCAUUCUACAGUCGUAAUCUUCUACAAGAAGAGAACUGGUGAGAUGAUAUUUAACUAUUUACUGUCUGCUCAAGGUGUAGAGAAGGCAGUGGGAAAAGUAAUGAUGAUCUGAAAAUCGGCUAAUAGCACUUGGUUCUUUGAAUUUGUUUGAUUCCUUUCACACGUCAGGCUCAAGUCGCUGCUUUCAUCGUCCAUGGUUAUGAUGCAAGUAUUGCUUGUUUCUCUUAAAUAUGCAUAGUUCACCUUCAUGUACUAUAUGUUUGUUUUUGCAAGUAUCGUGACCAGUGCAGAUACCAAUGGACCAUGAAUUCUGUUUCUCAUCUUAUUAUUUUAUUUCAAUUAUCGUGAUGAACCUGUAACUUGCCAACCGUUGCAGGUAUUGAACACAAAUGUUUUAUUGACUCUCCUGAAUAUUGUAUUUAGCAGAAUUAUUUUUUUAAUACAAUGUUGUUAUAAAGCUAACA